rnacentral:rRNA from 1 species
CAAUAGCGUAUAUUAAAGUUGUUGCGGUUAAAAAGCUCGUAGUUGGAUUUCUGCUGAGGACGAUCGGUCCGCCCACUGGGUGAGUAUCUGGCUCGGCCUUGGCAUCUUCUUGGAGAACGUUGCUGCACUUGACUGUGUGGUGCGGUAUCCAGGACUUUUACUUUGAGGAAAUUAGAGUGUUUCAAGCAGGCGCACGCCUUGAAUACAUUAGCAUGGAAUAAUAAGAUAGGACCUUGGUUCUAUUUUGUUGGUUUCUAGAGCUGAGGUAAUGAUUAAUAGGGAUAGUUGGGGGCAUUCGUAUUUAACUGUCAGAGGUGAAAUUCUUGGAUUUGUUAAAGACGGACUACUGCGGAAGCAUUUGCCAAGGAUGUUUNCAUUG